rnacentral:rRNA from 1 species
CGGAGGGCGUAGCGUUGUUCGGAAUUACUGGGCGUAAAGCGCACGUAGGCGGACCAGUCAGUUGGGGUGGAAAUCCCGGGGCGUCAACCCCGGAACCUGCCUCCAAAACUAGCUGGUCUGGAGGUCGAGAGAGGCGAGUGGAAUUCCGAGUGUAGAGGUGAAAUUCGUAGAUAUUCGGAGGAACACCAGUGGCGAAGGCGGCUCGCUGGCUCGAUACUGACGCUGAGGUGCGAAAGCGUGGGGAGCAAACAGGAUU